rnacentral:rRNA from 1 species
GACGAACGCUGGCGGCGUGCUUAACACAUGCAAGUCGAACGGACCUGCCCUUCUUUGGGUGGGUUUCGUGGCGAACCGGUUGGUAACUCGUUAGUAACCUGCCCGCUGCUCCUGGAUAACGCCCUGAAAGGGGUGCUAAUACGGCGUGUGCUGUUGCUGCGGCAUGGUGGUGCCGUGAUAGGUUCCCCUUUUUUUUGGGGUUCUGUUGGGUGAUGGGCUCGCGGACUAUCAGCCUGUGGGUGGGGUGAUGGCCUACCAAGUCGGUGACGGGUAUCGGGCCUGAGAGCGGGGACGGUGACACUGGGACUGGGACACGGCCCAGACUCGUGCGGGAGGCAGCAGUGGGGGGUAUUGGGCAAUGAGCGUGAGCCUGACGCAGCGAGGCCGCGUGAGGGACGGAGGGAUUCGGGUGGUGAACCUCUUGCGCGGGUGGAGAGGGAGCCCAUGUGUGGGGUGCUGACUGUAGCCGGGUUAAGAAGCGCCGGCUAACUACGUG